AGUUUGAUCCUGGCUCAGGAUGAACGCUAGCUACAGGCUUAACACAUGCAAGUCGAGGGGCAGCAUGAACUUAGCUUGCUAAGUUUGAUGGCGACCGGCGCACGGGUGAGUAACACGUAUCCAACCUGCCGAUGACUCGGGGAUAGCCUUUCGAAAGAAAGAUUAAUACCCGAUGGCAUAGUUCUUCCGCAUGGUAGAACUAUUAAAGAACUUCGGUCAUCGAUGGGGAUGCGUUCCAUUAGGUUGUUGGCGGGGUAACGGCCCACCAAGCCUUCGAUGGAUAGGGGUUCUGAGAGGAAGGUCCCCCACAUUGGAACUGAGACACGGUCCAAACUCCUACGGGAGGUAGCAGUGAGGAAUAUUGGUCAAUGGACGAGAGUCUGAACCAGCCAAGUAGCGUGAAGGAUGACUGCCCUAUGGGUUGUAAACUUCUUUUAUACGGGAAUAAAGUGAGGCACGUGUGCCUUUUUGUAUGUACCGUAUGAAUAAGGAUCGGCUAACUCCGUGCCAGCAGCCGCGGUAAUACGGAGGAUCCGAGCGUUAUCCGGAUUUAUUGGGUUUAAAGGGAGCGUAGGCGGACGCUUAAGUCAGUUGUGAAAGUUUGCGGCUCAACCGUAAAAUUGCAGUUGAUACUGGGUGUCUUGAGUACAGUAGAGGCAGGCGGAAUUCGUGGUGUAGCGGUGAAAUGCUUAGAUAUCACGAAGAACUCCGAUUGCGAAGGCAGCCUGCUGGACUGUAACUGACGCUGAUGCUCGAAAGUGUGGGUAUCAAACAGGAUUAGAUACCCUGGUAGUCCACACAGUAAACGAUGAAUACUCGCUGUUUGCGAUAUACAGUAAGCGGCCAAGCGAAAGCGUUAAGUAUUCCACCUGGGGAGUACGCCGGCAACGGUGAAACUCAAAGGAAUUGACGGGGGCCCGCACAAGCGGAGGAACAUGUGGUUUAAUUCGAUGAUACGCGAGGAACCUUACCCGGGCUUGAAUUGCAACUGAAUGAUGUGGAGACAUGUCAGCCGCAAGGCAGUUGUGAAGGUGCUGCAUGGUUGUCGUCAGCUCGUGCCGUGAGGUGUCGGCUUAAGUGCCAUAACGAGCGCAACCCUUAUCGAUAGUUACCAUCAGGUGAUGCUGGGGACUCUGUCGGGAC
rnacentral:rRNA from 1 species